GCAAACUGAGAACUUCUCCGAGCUGCUGAUUUAAUUUCCUGUUUUCUCUUUGAGGAGACACUCCCUAACUUCUUUCUACUUCUCUGCACUGUCUGAAGUUGACAGCCAUAUUGCGCACUCAGACUCUGUCGCUUAAACCUGAUCAAUAAAUCUCUGUCAGCUUAUCAGCUCCUGUGUUCAAAACGAGAGAAGAAAACUUCAAGAAAAGGUUUAAAGAAUGUCUGACACUGCAAAGUAUGAAGAAACAUUAUGAGUGCAACCUCCCUGAUUUGGAGCAUUAAGUGAGAGAACCACUGAGUAGCCAGCUAUUUACCUGCUAUAGAUUUGUAAUCCACAGAAGAAGGUACAAGAAGGAGACUGAGAAUUAAAAUUGAUAAGUCGAGGUGCUUCAGAGUAUAGAAAUAUACCUUACGGAUUAUUCAUUUUUAUUACUGGCAAUUUACACAAUUGUUUAAAUUCUUACAUCAUCAUGGAUGACACCUACUUUCUUGAGAUGACCAACCAUCUUCAUCAACUGGAAAAAAUAAGAAACACCCCAGAAUUGAGGACUAACCUGAUUUACCAGAAGUUUUCAGCCCCUUUUCUGAAGACAUUUUCAGAACAUCAGGAAGCUCUGGAAGAAUGUCUUGGAAACAUAGAGGAGAUUGCGUCUGCAAUGGACACAGUAAAAAGAAAUGUCUCGAUUGUCAACAUGUCAUCAGGCACUGUUGGCAUAGCAGGCAGUGUGCUGUGUAUCACUGGCCUGGCCUUGGCACCUGUCACACUUGGAGUCUCCUCAAUACUCAGUAUAGUAGGAACUGCAGUUGGAGCAGGUGCAGGUGUGGGAGAUUUAAUAGCAAACAUCGCCACAUGGUCUUGUAAUGUAAUAAAGAAGACUAAAGUUAAGGAAAUCCUGAACAAGUAUAAAAAGAUGAUAGAGCCUAUUGAAAAAAGUCUUAGAAAACAAGAACUAGUUUUCAAUAAGGUGUCGGAAAUAUGUAAACCGGAAUAUUUAAUAAAGAUGAUCCAAAAAACUCAUCUAAAAACAGAUGAGACUGAAAUGUCAUAUGCUGGUUUUAAAGCUGCUAGAUCAGGAGUGGGGUUAGGCGGAGCUGCAGUAAACAUAGCAGACGACAUCGCCAAUUUGACCAGAAUUGGAGAUACAGUGAGUGAUGGGGCAGCUGUGGGGCUGAGAGGAACGGGAACAGGGGCACUAAAAAUAUUCGGUGGGGUUUGUAGUAGUGUUUUUAUAGUUUGGGAUCUUUACAGAAUCUGCACAAACAGCAUAGACCUGGCUAAAGGUAAAACGAAUGAAACUGCUGAAAUUAUAAGGAGGACAGUGGCUAAGCUGCGGAAAGAGCUGGAGUCAUACAAACACCUUUAUGAGGUUCUGCAAAAAGGGAAGGAGGAUGAAAUCAACAACCAGAAAGCCUUGUCAAAGGAUUUUAUCCCUCAACAGAUCACAAUGAACUGGAUACAAAUGAGAUCAAUCUCACAAGAGAGAAGCUGUCCAUCAAUGGAACGUCGUUGGAACACCAGGCCGACUUACGCACCUCAGUCAUACCAAAGUAAAUUACAAAUAAUGCCAGCGAUCAAGUUAUUCUCUAGAAUUCUGGCAUCUAAAAGAAGACCCACGGAUCCAAAGAAAACCCACCAAGUCACUGUGAGAGCGCAAAACUUCACACAGCAAGUUAAAUGACCAAAUUCUGAGCCCAAGACCCAGGAGAGGGCCACAUCCUGUCAAUCCUGGAAGCAAGGAGUUGUGAUACAGAUUCCGACUACAUUCAUGAUGGAGAAGAAUGGCUUUACAGAUGUUUUGACGUCAAGAAAUGUUCCAAAUGCAGUUUCAGCUCAGAUUUAGCCUCCUCAAUUACAUAAAGUGAAAUAAAAGCCAGUAAAGAUACAAAAAUACCUUCUAUGCACAACAAACUGUGAACAAAUAGCCCACUGGCUAUAUACUGGCUGAGUGAAUGAUGACUGAAACAAGCCAUUAUGAAGAUCGUUUGAAGAAAUGUUCAGACAGGCCAUAUGUUUCUGGUUUCUCAGACAGAAUGCAAUAAAAUAAGAUGGAUUAACGAGCGGCAGGCAACCCAAGCUAUCCUGAUGCUUCUUAAAGAAACCAUCCCUGAACUUUGACUUAUGAAACAAGCCUUACUAAAGGCUGCUUAAUUAUGUGCUCAAAUAGGAUGCAACUUUAGCUUUUAGAAAUGUUUAUUUGAUACUUUUCGUCUUUUAAUAAAUGGUGUUGCAGAUUUUUUAGCAUUGAAAAACUCUAAAUGUUUAUUUUUACUUUAUUUCUUUUGGAAUUUGAAAAUCUUGUUUAAUAAGCUGGAGUAAAUAAAACUAGCAUGUAACAUCAGCCCAGGAAAGCAACAUAAUUUUGUAAUGUACACAUAUGACUGUGGUUUUGAGAUUAUUGAUAAUUUAUUUAAUCAUUGUCAACUAUUGAACUUGUUUUGUUCAUUGGAUGAAUAAAGUUAUCUAUCACCAUCUG